rnacentral:rRNA from 1 species
ACGAACGCUGGCGGCGUGCUUAACACAUGCAAGUCGAGCGAGGCCUUCUCUUCGGAGAGGUGCCCUAGCGGCGAACGGGUGAGUAACACGUGGGCAACCUGCCCCUAGCAUUGGGAUAAGCCCGGGAAACCGGGUCUAAUACCGGAUACGACCUCCGAGGGCAUCCUCGAAGGUGGAAAGGGUUACUGGCUAGGGAUGGGCCCGCGGCCUAUCAGCUUGUUGGUGGGGUAACGGCCCACCAAGGCAACGACGGGUAGCCGGCCUGAGAGGGCGACCGGCCACACUGGGACUGAGACACGGCCCAGACUCCUACGGGAGGCAGCAGUGGGGAAUAUUGCACAAUGGGCGAAAGCCUGAUGCAGCGACGCCGCGUGAGGGAUGACGGCCUUCGGGUUGUAAACCUCUUUCAGCUCCGACGAAGCGCAAGUGACGGUAGGAGCAGAAGAAGCACCGGCCAACUACGUGCCAGCAGCCGCGGUAAUACGUAGGGUGCAAGCGUUGUCCGGAAUUAUUGGGCGUAAAGAGCUCGUAGGCGGCUUGUCACGUCGGCUGUGAAAACCUGGGGCUCAACUCCGGGCCUGCAGCCGAUACGGGCAAGCUAGAGUUCGGUAGGGGAGACUGGAAUUCCUGGUGUAGCGGUGAAAUGCGCAGAUAUCAGGAGGAACACCGGUGGCGAAGGCGGGUCUCUGGGCCGAAACUGACGCUGAGGAGCGAAAGCGUGGGGAGCGAACAGGAUUAGAUACCCUGGUAGUCCACGCCGUAAACGUUGGGCGCUAGGUGUGGGCCUCA